CCUACGGGUGGCAGCAGUAGGGAAUCUUCCACAAUGGGCGCAAGCCUGAUGGAGCAACACCGCGUGAGUGAAGAAGGGUUUCGGCUCGUAAAGCUCUGUUGUUGGAGAAGAACGUGCGUGCGAGUAACUGUUCACGCAGUGACGGUAUCCACCCAGAAAGUCACGGCUAACUACGUGCCAGCAGCCGCGGUAAUACGUAGGUGGCAAGCGUUAUCCGGAUUUAUUGGGCGUAAAGCGAGCGCAGGCGGUUGCUUAGGUCUGAUGUGAAAGCCUUCGGCUUAACCGAAGAAGUGCAUCGGAAACCGGGCAACUUGAGUGCAGAAGAGGACAGUGGAACUCCAUGUGUAGCGGUGGAAGGCGUAGAUAUAUGGAAGAACACCAGUGGCGAAGGCGGCUGUCUGGGCUGCAACUGACGCUGAGGCUCGAAAGCAUGGGUAGCGAACAGGAUUAGAUACCCUAGUAGUC
rnacentral:rRNA from 1 species